rnacentral:rRNA from 1 species
UAGGGAAUCUUCGGCAAUGGGCGCAAGCCUGAUGGAGCAACACCGCGUGAGUGAAGAAGGGUUUCGGCUCGUAAAGCUCUGUUGUUAAAGAAGAACACGUAUGAGAGUAACUGUUUAUACGUUGACGGUAUUUAACCAGAAAGUCACGGCUAACUACGUGCCAA